GACGAACGCUGGCGGCGUGCCUAAUACAUGCAAGUCGAGCGAAGCGGCGGAUGGGUGAGUAACGCGUGGGUAACCUGCCCUUAAGUCUGGGAUACUAUUUGGAAACAGAUGCUAAUACCGGAUACUUAAGUAUGGACCUGCGAUGCAUGAGCUAGUUGGUAAGGUAACGGCUUACCAAGGCGAUGAUGCAUAGCCGGGUUGAGAGACUGAUCAGCCACAUUGGGACUGAGACACGGCCCAGACUCCUACGGGAGGCAGCAGUAGGGAAUAUUCCACAAUGGGCGAAAGUCUGAUGGAGCAACGCCGCGUGAGUGAAGAAGGUUUUCGGAUUGUAAAGCUCUGUUGUUGGGGAAGCGGUAAUCAACCAGAAAGUCACGGCUAACUACGUGCCAGCAGCCGCGGUAAUAC
rnacentral:rRNA from 1 species